rnacentral:tRNA from 1 species
GCGGCUAUAGCUCAGGUGAGACAAAACCGAUGUACCUCUUCCGCAAACCGAAUUCUAACGCAACAGCAGCUGGGAGAGCGUCAGUACGUAAAUCUGAAGGUCCUGUGUUCGAUCCACAGUGGCCGCA